GAACGCUGGCGGCAGGCCUAACACAUGCAAGUCGAACGGUAACAGGAAACAGCUUGCUGUUUCGCUGACGAGUGGCGGACGGGUGAGUAAUGUCUGGGAAACUGCCUGAUGGAGGGGGAUAACUACUGGAAACGGUAGCUAAUACCGCAUAACGUCGCAAGACCAAAGAGGGGGACCUUCGGGCCUCUUGCCAUCGGAUGUGCCCAGAUGGGAUUAGCUUGUUGGUGGGGUAACGGCUCACCAAGGCGACGAUCCCUAGCUGGUCUGAGAGGAUGACCAGCCACACUGGAACUGAGACACGGUCCAGACUCCUACGGGAGGCAGCAGUGGGGAAUAUUGCACAAUGGGCGCAAGCCUGAUGCAGCCAUGCCGCGUGUAUGAAGAAGGCCUUCGGGUUGUAAAGUACUUUCAGCGGGGAGGAAGGGAGUAAAGUUAAUACCUUUGCUCAUUGACGUUACCCGCAGAAGAAGCACCGGCUAACUCCGUGCCAGCAGCCGCGGUAAUACGGAGGGUGCAAGCGUUAAUCGGAAUUACUGGGCGUAAAGCGCACGCAGGCGGUUUGUUAAGUCAGAUGUGAAAUCCCCGGGCUCAACCUGGGAACUGCAUCUGAUACUGGCAAGCUUGAGUCUCGUAGAGGGGGGUAGAAUUCCAGGUGUAGCGGUGAAAUGCGUAGAGAUCUGGAGGAAUACCGGUGGCGAAGGCGGCCCCCUGGACGAAGACUGACGCUCAGGUGCGAAAGCGUGGGGAGCAAACAGGAUUAGAUACCCUGGUAGUCCACGCCGUAAACGAUGUCGACUUGGAGGUUGUGCCCUUGAGGCGUGGCUUCCGGAGCUAACGCGUUAAGUCGACCGCCUGGGGAGUACGGCCGCAAGGUUAAAACUCAAAUGAGUUGACGGGGGCCCGCACAAGCGGUGGAGCAUGUGGUUUAAUUCGAUGCAACGCGAAGAACCUUACCUGGUCUUGACAUCCACAGAACUUUCCAGAGAUGGAUUGGUGCCUUCGGGAACUGUGAGACAGGUGCUGCAUGGCUGUCGUCAGCUCGUGUUGUGAAAUGUUGGGUUAAGUCCCGCAACGAGCGCAACCCUUAUCCUUUGUUGCCAGCGGUCCGGCCGGGAACUCAAAGGAGACUGCCAGUGAUAAACUGGAGGAAGGUGGGGAUGACGUCAAGUCAUCAUGGCCCUUACGACCAGGGCUACACACGUGCUACAAUGGCGCAUACAAAGAGAAGCGACCUCGCGAGAGCAAGCGGACCUCAUAAAGUGCGUCGUAGUCCGGAUUGGAGUCUGCAACUCGACUCCAUGAAGUCGGAAUCGCUAGUAAUCGUGGAUCAGAAUGCCACGGUGAAUACGUUCCCGGGCCUUGUACACACCGCCCGUCACACCAUGGGAGUGGGUUGCAAAAGAAGUAGGUAGCUUAACCUUCGGGGGGGCGCUUACCACUUUGUGAUUCAUGACUGGGGU
rnacentral:rRNA from 1 species